AAGUCGUAACAAGGUUUCCGUAGGUGAACCUGCGGAAGGAUCAUUAAAACAAUAAUGAAUGUCGGGGAGGGCGCUUCGGUGCAUUCCCCGUGUAUUCAACCAAACCCGCUCGUGUAUUUGGAUCAAAAAAACAAACAAAAUUUUUAACGAUAAUAAUUAAACAAACUUUCAACAACGGAUCUCUUGGCUCUC
rnacentral:misc_RNA from 1 species